UUGAGUUUAAUUUUAUUUAAUAAGUUUAUAAAGUUUUAUUUAAACUUAAAAAUUUAGUUUAAUUUUAAUUUAAAUGUAAAUUUUAGUGUAAUAAUUUUAAAUAAUAAAUUAGUUUGCAAUAAAUAAUUUUAAAUAUUAAAGAAAUUUAGAUUUAGUAAUAAUGAUAGUAUUAACUUAAUUUGUGCCAGCAGUUGCGGUUAUACAAAUAAUACAAUUAAAUUAGUUUAGUUUUAAUAAAUUAGUAGAUUAAAAUUUUUAGGUUAAAUUUAUUAAGUGAAAUUUUAAAUUUAUAAAAGAUUUAGUUUUGAUAAUGAUUUAGGAAAUUUUAUAAGAAACUAGGAUUAGAUACCCUAUUAUAAAAAUGUAAAUUUAAGGACUAAAUUAGUAAUAGUUAUGAUCUUUAAAAUUAAAGAUUUUGGCGGUAUUUUAGUCUAUUCAGAGGAACCUGUUCUGUAAUUGAUAGUCCACGAUUUAAUUUACUUAUUUUUAUUAAUUUACAUAUCGUCGUAGUUUGAAUAUUUUAUAAGAAUUUUAAUAUUCAAGAUUUAAAAUAAUAAAAAAAAUCAGAUCAAGAUGUAGUUUAUAAAUAAGUAGAAAUGGGUUACUAUAAUUUAAUUUUUGAUAAUUAUUUUUAAAGUAAUUUGAAUUAGGAUUUGAAAGUAAUUUUAAUUAAUUUAUUAAAGUGAUUUUAGCUCUAAAAUAUGUACAUAUCGCCCGUCGCUUUCAUUAUAAUGUGAAAUAAGUCGUAACAAAGUAGAUUUACUGGAAAGUGAAUCUAGAUA
rnacentral:ncRNA from 1 species